rnacentral:rRNA from 1 species
UUGAACGCUGGCGGCAGGCCUAACACAUGCAAGUCGAACGGUAACAGAAAGCAGCUUGCUGCUUUGCUGACGAGUGGCGGACGGGUGAGUAAUGUCUGGGAAACUGCCUGAUGGAGGGGGAUAACUACUGGAAACGGUAGCUAAUACCGCAUAACGUCGCAAGACCAAAGAGGGGGACCUUCGGGCCUCUUGCCAUCGGAUGUGCCCAGAUGGGAUUAGCUUGUUGGUGGGGUAACGGCUCACCAAGGCGACGAUCCCUAGCUGGUCUGAGAGGAUGACCAGCCACACUGGAACUGAGACACGGUCCAGACUCCUACGGGAGGCAGCAGUGGGGAAUAUUGCACAAUGGGCGCAAGCCUGAUGCAGCCAUGCCGCGUGUAUGAAGAAGGCCUUCGGGUUGUAAAGUACUUUCAGCGGGGAGGAAGGGAGUAAAGUUAAUACCUUUGCUCAUUGACGUUACCCGCAGAAGAAGCACCGGCUAACUCCGUGCCAGCGGCCGCGGUAAUACGGAGGGUGCAAGCGUUAAUCGGAAUUACUGGGCGUAAAGCGCACGCAGGCGGUUUGUUAAGUCAGAUGUGAAAUCCCCGGGCUCAACCUGGGAACUGCAUCUGAUACUGGCAAGCUUGAGUCUCGUAGAGGGGGGUAGAAUUCCAGGUGUAGCGGUGAAAUGCGUAGAGAUCUGGAGGAAUACCGGUGGCGAAGGCGGCCCCCUGGACGAAGACUGACGCUCAGGUGCGAAAGCGUGGGGAGCAAACAGGAUUAGAUACCCUGGUAGUCCACGCCGUAAACGAUGUCGACUUGGAGGUUGUGCCCUUGAGGCGUGGCUUCCGGAGCUAACGCGUUAAGUCGACCGCCUGGGGAGUACGGCCGCAAGGUUAAAACUCAAAUGAAUUGACGGGGGCCCGCACAAGCGGUGGAGCAUGUGGUUUAAUUCGAUGCAACGCGAAGAACCUUACCUGGUCUUGACAUCCACAGAACUUUCCAGAGAUGGAUUGGUGCCUUCGGGAACUGUGAGACAGGUGCUGCAUGGCUGUCGUCAGCUCGUGUUGUGAAAUGUUGGGUUAAGUCCCGCAACGAGCGCAACCCUUAUCCUUUGUUGCCAGCGGUCCGGCCGGGAACUCAAAGGAGACUGCCAGUGAUAAACUGGAGGAAGGUGGGGAUGACGUCAAGUCAUCAUGGCCCUUACGACCAGGGCUACACACGUGCUACAAUGGCGCAUACAAAGAGAAGCGACCUCGCGAGAGCAAGCGGACCUCAUAAAGUGCGUCGUAGUCCGGAUUGGAGUCUGCAACUCGACUCCAUGAAGUCGGAAUCGCUAGUAAUCGUGGAUCAGAAUGCCACGGUGAAUACGUUCCCGGGCCUUGUACACACCGCCCGUCACACCAUGGGAGUGGGUUGCAAAAGAAGUAGGUAGCUUAACCUUCGGGAGGGCGCUUACCACUUUGUGAUUCAUGACUGGGGUG